rnacentral:lncRNA from 1 species
UCAUCUUACUAACUUCCUUGAGCACCCCUUAUACUUUUUCAGAGUCGCCCUCCUGCAAGUAUAAUUUACAACGCCCCACUUCUCAGUGAUGCUGAAUGAGCAACCAGAGGCCUCCCAGAAACUUCUCCCCUCCCUGAGUGAGGAUGGGGCCCUGUGAGAGACGAUGGCAGCAGAGAAACGACACAUCCAUGAGACCAGGGCGGAAAAGCAGCUUUGCUGCAGACAACAUGGCGCUGAGCCCAGGGGCCAGGAGAGAAGGAGGGACGGUUUCCAUCCCAGAAGCGGCAUCAAGGCCGCGGGCCGCGGGGACUGGGUCUGCUGAGCCUUUCGUGGGCUCGAUCUCUUCUCCUUUCGCAUGUCUGUUCAGGAGCGCAAUAAAUUCCCAGGUGUGUGGGAAACCACAGGACAC